UGCAGAAUGUGACCCUGGCCAUCGCCGUGUUCACCAUCCUGGCCUCCAUCUACUUCUUCAACAAGGCUCAGCAGUGAGAAGACACAGGACCUCCCCACCCAAGAGCCCUGCCUCUGCCCUAACCAUUGCUCUGAGACCAAAUAAAUGUAACUGAAUCCGCA